rnacentral:lncRNA from 1 species
UGAGACAUAAUGGAAGGUCACUAGGGCACACCUUUUGUCAAGUCUUUUUCAUGUGCCUUUCCACGAUUCCUGGCUAUCAGGAGCUUGUCUCUACUAUACACUCCCACCAUGAAAUUUCAUGCUUCACCACAGAAGAAAAACCAAUGAAACCAAACAACCAUGGACUGAAACCUCUAAAAAACAUAAGCCAAAAUAAUGUUUACUCAGAGAAGUGGAUUGGGUAUUUUUUUAUCACUGUGACAGGAAGUUGACUAACAGAUCAGGCCAACAGAAAUGCUGAUGAAGGAGGGCUCCCCCACUUCCUCUCUUCCCAGCAUGCCUGCCACCCACCAUAAGUUAGGAGUGGAUGACAAGACAAUGUUCCCGAAAGAUAGCAGGUCACCCUCUGCUCAGCCAGAGGGCAGGAAGAGCAUCCAGUCAACAUCCUCGGGUUUACAGGAGUGGCCUGGCUGGUGAGGCCAAGAAAAGCUUUUUAAGUGGCGAAGAAAUGGUCUCCUGACUCACUGGCUGGACACUGGUAGCCACCACAGGGAUGUGUGCUCUCUGUAUCUUGCUGAGCAAUGUGGUUUUACACACAUGCUCUUUACGAAUCACAAAGCCAUGUCUAAGAAAGGAAUGAUUACAUCUUGCAGCUGAGGAAACUGAGGCCCUGUAGCCAUACAUCUUGGCCAGGUCACGUGCUGCACACGAUGUCAUCAAGUGGGACAGGGCUACCUGGGCCUAUGGAUUCUAUAGGUCUCCAGCAAACAGGAGAGGAGGUUCACUGCCUCAGCUCAGACAUACCCCCUCACCAUCGUCAAACCAGGCCUUCAGGGUGGGCCACACAACAUGGAAGGCAUUCAAAGGAAAAGCUUUUUAAGGUUAAAAGGUAUUUGUACCCAUGGGACCCCGAACUCUGAUAGCAUGACCUCAGAACACCUGAUUGACAGACUGAGAUAUGGGGAGAAUCUGCAGACAUGUUGAGAGCUUGGGGGGGUUGCUUGGUGAGGAUGUAAUGAAGGCUAGGAGCACUUAGGGAACAGACUGAGAACAGGUGAAGUCACACUGAGGGCUGGGAAGUGUAUGCUAAUGGAUGGACAGGGCCUAGUGAGAGAAAACUGAGGGCUGGGGAGGGCCUGAGGCAUGUAGAGAGCUGGAGUGUCUAGUGGGGAUAUGCUGAGGUCUUGAAUGGCUUUAGGGGAAAUGCUGAAGACUAGGGAGAGCUUAUAAGCUUUGCUGAAG